GAGUCUAACAUAUGUGCAAGUUAUUGGGAUGUAAACCUAAUAGCGUAAUUAACUUGACUAAUAAUGGGAUUAGUUUUUUAGCUAUUUAUAGCUAAUUAACACAAUCCCGGGGCGUUCUAUAUAGUUAUGUAUAAUGUAUAUUUAUAUUAUUUAUGCCUCUAACUGGAACGUACCUUGAGCAUAUAUGCUGUGACCCGAAAGAUGGUGAACUAUACUUGAUCAGGUUGAAGUCAGGGGAAACCCUGAUGGAAGACCGAAACAGUUCUGACGUGCAAAUCGAUUGUCAGAAUUGAGUAUAGGGGCGAAAGACCAAUCGAACCAUCUAGUAGCUGGUUCCUUCCGAAGUUUCCCUCAGGAUAGCUGGUGCAUUUUAAUAUUAUAUAAAAUAAUCUUAUCUGGUAAAGCGAAUGAUUAGAGGCCUUAGGGUCGAAACGAUCUUAACCUAUUCUCAAACUUUAAAUGGGUAAGAACCUUAACUUUCUUGAUAUGAAGUUCAAGGUUAUGAUAUAAUGUGCCCAGUGGGCCCACUUUUGGUAAGCAGAACUGGCGCUGUGGGAUGAACCAAACGUAAUGUUACGGUGCCCAAAUUAAACAACUCAUGCAGAUACCAUGAAAGGGUUGGUUGCUUAAAGACGCAGGACCGUGAUCAUGGAGGUCCAAAUCCGCUAAGGAGUGUGUAACAACUCACCCUGACGGAAGCACUAGCCGUAGAAUUGGAUGGCGCUUAAAGUGUGUAUACCUAUACAUUACCCGCUAAAGGUAGAAUGAUUUAUAUUAACGUGGUGAUAAUAAAAUUUUGGAACUCUUAAGUGGAGAAGGAAGGGUACCAAUU
rfam:Drosophila sechellia strain Rob3c scaffold_204 genomic scaffold, whole genome shotgun sequence.